rnacentral:sRNA from 1 species
AUCGGAGGAGGCGGGAUUACGCAAAAGAAUGAUUCUGAUUAGGCCGGAUAGGAGGCCGGGCUGAUUCUCGAAGGAGGGGUGUGUUGGAAAGUGGGAGAGGUCAAACAAAGGGUAGGACGCGUUAUCGCAACAGUGAACCCGCUUCUCUGAGUGCAGUGGUUCCAGCAGCAGACGCUGCAGCGGCGGGUGAAACGCUCUGUGGUGGUGCCCACGGACCCCUGGUUCUCCAAGCAGUGGUACAUGAACAGCGAGGCCCAACCAGACCUGAGCAUCCUGCAGGCCUGGAGUCAGGGGCUGUCAGGCCAGGGCAUCGUGGUCUCUGUGCUGGACGAUGGCAUCGAGAAGGACCACCCGGACCUCUGGGCCAACUACGACCCCCUGGCCAGCUAUGACUUCAAUGACUACGACCCGGACCCCCAGCCCCGCUACACCCCCAGCAAAGAGAACCGGCGUGCGGAUGCUGGACGGUACCAUCACCGAUGUCAUCGAGGCCCAGUCGCUGAGCCUGCAGCCGCAGCACAUCCACAUUUACAGCGCCAGCUGGGGUCCCGAGGACGACGGCCGC